UCCCUGGUGUUCCAGUGGCUAAGACUCUGUGCUCCCAACGCAGGUGGUCCAGGUUUGACUCCUGGUUGGGGAA
rnacentral:tRNA from 1 species